rnacentral:lncRNA from 1 species
AUUUAAUUAGUUUUUAAUUUGUUUUUAAUUGUUUAAAAUAUAGUUUUAAGUCUUUAAAAAUUCUGAGAUUUUUUCUCCAAGGUCCUUUGACCUUGUUUCACCUAUGAUAAAUCGCAUGGCUAUUUAUUUGGUGUUUUGAUGAGGUUAUAGGAAUUUGAUAAACCAUAUUUAAUUUAAAUGUAUUAUUUUAGUAUUUUUAAUUUGAACAAACACCAAAUAAUUU